rnacentral:rRNA from 1 species
UUUCCUGCGGAAUAGCUCCGGGAAACUGGAAUUAAUACCGCAUACGCCCUACGGGGGAAAGAUUUAUCGGGGAAGGAUUGGCCCGCGUUGGAUUAGCUAGUUGGUGGGGUAAAGGCCUACCAAGGCGACGAUCCAUAGCUGGUCUGAGAGGAUGAUCAGCCACAUUGGGACUGAGACACGGCCCAAACUCCUACGGGAGGCAGCAGUGGGGAAUAUUGGACAAUGGGCGCAAGCCUGAUCCAGCCAUGCCGCGUGAGUGAUGAAGGCCUUAGGGUUGUAAAGCUCUUUCACCGAUGAAGAUAAUGACGGUAGUCGGAGAAGAAGCCCCGGCUAACU